CUGCCACCGAUGAGUCCCAUAAUAGGACGAAACGGCCGUCCAG
rnacentral:hammerhead_ribozyme from 1 species